GCUGGGCAUGGUGGCGCAUGCCUGUAAUCCCAGCUACUCAGGAGGCUGAGGCAGGAGAAUCGCUUGAACCAGGAAGUCGGAGGUUGCAGAGAGCCAAGAUGGCGCCACUGCACUCCAGCCUGGCGACAGAGCGAGACUCUGUCUCAA
ensembl:misc_RNA Metazoa_SRP Metazoan signal recognition particle RNA